GGGACGACCAAGGCACGCCUUACCCAACUGUUCUUCACUCUAGAGCUUUCUGGGCAAAGGGCACAGGAGGGGACACCCUUGCAGGAUAAGGCUUGUUCGUUCCUGGGGAAUGAGAGAAGCAGAGGGACACCGGAAAAUCACUGGCCCCACUGGAGAUGCCUGAGCCGGGAAGAUGAAAGAGGAUGAUACAGGGGACUGUCUUUUUUCUCACACAGCUGGCAGCCCUGGCCUGGCGUCUGAGAGACAAAUGUGCCAGGCAUUUGCCUUGUCAAAUGAAUUAUCUUUCCUUCCCUCUCAUCGAAUAUUUACUGAGCAUCCCCAUCACUACAAGCUGAAGCCACGAUGGUGAGCAAAAGUGCUCUUCGUCCUCACAGAGCUUUAUGGAGCUCCACAUUGGCCAAUGAGAUCACAUCCUGCAACACGCAUCAGCCCCGUGGUUAAUAGCCUUCCAACAUGGCCUCCGGGAAUCCCUGCUUUCUGGUCGUCCUGCACAUGUUUAAUCCUCUCCCCUCGAGCGUGGGCUGGAUUUUGUGACUUGCUUGUAACAAAUAGAAGAUGCAAAAGCAACGUGUUUGGUUUGCGAAGACUGUGGAUUCCAUCUUGUUUGUACUCUCUCUUGCUUGCGAUAAGGAAGGAAGCUGCCAUGUUGUGAGCGGCUCUGUGAAGAGGUCCCUGUGGCAAGGACCUGAGGAUCUCUUUCAGCCAAAGCCAGAGAGGAAUUUCCCCCGCCCCCAGUCCAAUAGCCAGGAGAGAACAAAUCCUCCCAACUACCACUGAGUGAGCCCAGAAGCUCCCCUCUCCCACUGCAGUAGAGACUUGAGGUGACAGCAACCCUACCCAACAUUUUGACUGCAGAGACAUUGAGAGCUCAAGGACCCAGCUAACCUGUGCCUGUGUUCAUUCCUAAUCCACAGAAGGAUCCACAGAAAUGUGCGGUGGCUCACGCCUGUAAUCCCAGCACUUUGGGAGGCCGAGGCGGGUGGAUCACGAGGUCAAGAUAUCGAGACCAUCCUGGUCAACAUGGUGAAACCCUGUCUCUACUAAAAAUACAAAAAAUUAGCUGGGCACGGUGGCGUGUGCCUGUAAUCCCAGCCACUCGGGAGGCUGAGGCAGGAGAAUUGCCUGAACCCAGGAGGUGGAGGUUGCGGUGAGCUGAGAUUGCACCAUUGCACUCCAGCCUGGGUAACAAGAGCGAAACUCCGUCUCAAAAAGAAAGAAAAGUGCAUUAAUCCAGUGGAGAUGUACUGUGAGAUGUUGUUUUAAGCUACUGAGUGUGGGAGUAAUUUGUUACAUGGUGGUAGAUAACUAACACACACUGUAAAGUGUCAUUUGACAUUAAGGAACUGCGGCAUCAUUACAAUCUCGGUUUACUAAUGCAACUGAACAUCAACUCUGGGCCGAGCACACGGUGCCUUGGGGUUCUGAGGCCAUGGCGAUGAGCCAGACAAGACCCCAGCCUCCAAGACCUCACAGGGGCAGGUAGACACCAAAGUGCAAGCGGAGGGAGCAGAGCAAGCUUCAUGCAGGAAGGGGUGUUUGGGGUGACUUGAGGGAUGAAUAGGAUUUUAAAAGGCGGAAAUAAGGUGAAGGUAUUCCAUGGGGGAAGAGAUAGGGCAGUGCAAAACAUUUUCAAGCCUGUGACCCUGAGCUGAUGACAAUGAGAAAAAGUUGGACAGAUUCAGUUCCUCUUCUCUGGCUGGGGUUAGCACUAGGAAAAAUUGGGAAGGUGCAUCUUUACACAGCUUCCGAGCAAUGGAGACACAGAACAGCACGGUCAGGCUGGUGUGGGAACUGUGGCGUACGGAGGUGGGGUGGCAUAGAAAGGAGGGGGCUCCAUUACCUUUACCUGCCAGGAAGGUUACCUGGGCUCAACCAUCCUGGCUUUCCUGAGACAGCACUGCUAGUGGAGGAGGCUUGGGGCGGAGGAGCAUGGAGACCUGCAGCCAAAACCCUGGGUUCAAAUCUUGGCUCUGCCAAGUAGCUAGUUGUAGCAUUUUGGGAAAUUACUUUGCCUGCUCUGCAACUCCGUUGCCUCAUCUGUGAAAUGAAGCUAAUUACAGAUCCUGCCCUACAAGAUAUCAUGAGACUAAGUUAGUUAAUUUACAUUCACUAUUUCAGCUGGUGUGUGGCAUGCAAUAAAUAUGUUACUGGUAUUUUUUCAAGGGACGCAAUCUGAUCUUUGUAUCAUCCCUUUUUCUUUUUCUUCCUCCUUUCCUUCCUUUAUUCCAAAAAUAUUUCUUGAGCAGCAGACGCUGUGAUGGGAUUGUGCACAGGACACCGUGUGGGGAUUAUCACAUUAAAAGGACACAGCCACGACCCUCAGAGGGUUCACAACCUUCAGGCGGGUUUUCAUCCUAGGCUUUAGCCACCUUUCACAGAGUGUGAGCUGAGCAGAAAUCUGCCGUGGAAGGGUCAGGCCACGGUCUACCUACAUUCCACUUUGCACGGCACCUUUUACAGCUUGCUAAGAAAUGUCACAUAUUAUUUAAUUCUCACAAUAAUGUUGGGAGCUUGGUAUUAUCUAUUGUUACUAUUAACAAAUGGAGGAACCGAGGUCUAGCAUGAUUAAAGUAAUUAUCUAAGGUUACAAAGACUUUGGUGGCAAAUUAGACAUGACUAUUUCCCACGAUGUCAACAGUUUUUGAAACAGGCUGAGAGUGAGACAGGCCUUGUGGAGCAUUCGGGUCCACCUGGCAGGGAGGUCUGACAUCCCACGUGGGGCCGCCUGGAGUGCCGGUGUCUGGCCAGGCUGCCUGCUGGUUCUGGGCUUAGAAUUCAAACCAUUUCAGAAUUCUGAGGCAUCAAUAAUCCAUUUGAAAGUUAAACAAGAUGCCACUGAAAAAGGGCAUUUUUAGUCUGAGAGGGUGGCAGCUUGACUUCCAGGUCCCAGUUAAGUCCUUUCUGCAGAUGGACGCAUUUGUCCAACCUGUGCCCUUCCUCCCUGGCGUGGUGGAAGGCGCCACAGGGCACGGAGGAAAGGUGGAGGACGGGGAAGAGGGUGUGUGUGCAUCUGUGCACGUGGUGGGGAUUUAGUUCUUGAUUUUAGGGAUCCUUUCUGAGAGUACAAGGCAGGGAUCAGGUUAUUAAGAAAUUCUGAAAGAUGACUCAAGCAGUUGAGUAAAAGCAGCUUCAUUUUAUAAACCGCCAGUGGGAGCCAUUCCGGAACGUGCCCAGGUGUUCUCGUGAUUGAAAACCAACCAGCUGGAAGAAGGAAGAGAGGGAGGGAGUAGACCCCUGGAGACCAGCAUGUGAUAGCGUGUGCCGGCGACUUGUGAGGCCUGCCCAGCCCCUCCCCCUUCCCACCCACUCCUUGCCUGCCAGGUCUUCCCCUCUCUCCUCAUUGCAGGGAGACACGAGGAGGUCAGGGAGGCUGCCUGGGAGCCUGGCUUCUGCUCCCCACUAACUCCUGGCACAGUCAUAGGACAGCUCCGUGGUGGGGUGCCAUCUUUGCCCAUGGCCGGCGGUGGGUUCCACAGAGGCCUCGAUGCUGCUGAGCCAGGGAACAUGAAGUGGUGGGGCCCCACACAGUGGCUGGCUGACAGUGCUGGUGGCUGCUGUUUUUCCUAGCUAUAAGACUUCAGGCAUAUGACAACCUCUCCGAGCCAAUUUCUUCAUUUGGACAGGGAGGAUGCUGAUGCUAUCUGUCAAAUUCGGACCCCAUGUCCCCUCCCAAUUGGAGUCCCAACCCUCAGCACCUCAGAAUGUGGCCUCAUUUGGAGACAGGGUCUUUACGGGGUAAUGAAGUUAAAAUGAGGGCAUUACGGUGGGCCCUGAUACAAUACGAUUAGUAUUCUUACACAAAGAAGAAAUUGGGACACAUAAAUGAACACAUAGAGAGGGAAGAUGGUGUGACGAGAUACAGGGAGAAGAUGAUCAUCUACAAAACAAGGAGCCAACCCUGCUGGCACCUUGAUCUUGAAAUUCCAGCUUCCAGAAUUGGGAGCCAAUCCAUGUCUACUGCUGAACCCACCCCGUCUGUGGCACUGUGUUAUGGCACCUCUAGCAACCAACACAGAAUACAACUCGAGCCCAUAGGAAAGGCUAAUAUUUCUUGUGGUGGCAGGGAGGGGCCUUUCUCCUGUCCUGCCCCCAUUUUCUGAGAAGCUGUGCUUGGCCAGGUCCUGCUCAGUGGGAGGCAGCUCUGGUGUCAGGGAAAGGCCUCAGGCUCAGGUCCCUGCUCCAGCACUGAGUGGAUGGUGAGCUGGGCAGGCGUUGAACGUUUCAGAAUGUCUGUUUUAGCAACUCCAACCUGGGGCAAAUACGAAACCUCCCUGAGCAACUUGCAGGGUGGUUGUGCGGUUCAAGUGAGAUGACCGUAUACAUGGAAUCAUUUCAUGAACCCCACAGUGUCGAUUUCUGUGGUGGCUAUUACUGUCACAGGGGAGAAUUCUGAGAAUGACAGAGAAGUGUUGCAGAGAAGCUUGGGGGUAGGCAUUCCCGCUUUGUUGGGAGUUUGAUACUGCCCCAAGGGGCCCACAAUGACAGUAGCCUCGCUCACAAGUGUUGCUAGUACUGGCCCACCUUGAGUUCAGGUACGCUGCUACCAAGUGGCAGCAGGAAGCCUGCUUAUAUGUUCAACCUUUUUCUUGAGAUUCCAUAUGUAGGAAAAUACUAUUUAUUUAGUGCUUGUUCUAUGACGUGGGCUUCAUAUUUGACAUUUCUUUUCUUUUUUUUUUUUCUCUGAGAGUUUCACUCUUGUCACCCAGGCUGGAAUGAAAUGGCGCAAUCUUGGCUCACUGCAACCUCCACCUUCUGGAUUCAAGGGAUUCUCCUGUCUUAGUCUCCCGAGUAGCUGGGAUUAUAUGUGUGUGCCACCAGGCCUGGCUGCCUUUUGUAUUUUUAAUACAGAUGGGGUUGCGCCAUGUUGGCCAGGCUGGUCUCCAACUCCUGACCUCAAGUGAUCCACCUGCCUCUGCCUCCCAAAGUGCUGGGAUUACAGGCAUGAGCCACCACGCCUGGCCUCAUUCAAGCUUUCUAAAGAAGCCCCUUCCAUUUCCAAUGUGCUUAACUUCAGGUCUCCUGGCCACAUACCUUCUAUUCUUUGAUGUGUUAUUCCAAACAAGAGAAAGAGAGCCAUAGAGCCUUGCUUCUUUCUUCGCCUCUGCAGCAAGGUUUCUACCUGGUCCACGGUGAAGUCAGAUGCUGCCUGCCCCCUCUCCAAAGGGGGGCAUCUUGGUGCUUUAUUCUCCUGAUCAACAGGGAGAUCCUUUUUCUCUCUCUGGCCAGAACUGCCUCCCUGACUUGAAUUUGUGCCAAUGCUGGACUGACUUCUCUUCCAGGCUUCUAAUUCUUUUCCAGUUGAAUCUGACAACAUCUCCAAGUGGAGCGGGACACUAAGGUGGGAAGUAAACUUUUCUGCGUCCUCAGCACUUGGGCUCUGACCCAUCACUGGUCAGAUACUGCCCACACAGGGUAGGUUUAUCUCGGGCUGAGUGAGCCGGAGAGUGCGAGGGUUGGCUUGCUAUUAACUCACAAGGAGAAAUCGGGGAGUUGGAGGGUUUAAGUUGAGACAGGCCUCAGGCCACCCACAAGGAGGGCAAUGGUUUCUGGCUGACACGAGCCCAUUUCCACUCCUCAAAGGCAGAGAGUCCUCAUAUUCGGCUCUGUAACCCCAGAGCCAGUUUUGGCAUGUGGCCCGCAGCAGAAUCAUGGUGAAUAGAUACAUUUUUUUUCUUUUUUUGAGAUGGAGUCUCGAUCUGUCACCAGGCUGGAGUGCAAUGGCACGAUCUUGGCUCACUGCA